rnacentral:rRNA from 1 species
GAUGAACGCUAGCGGGAGGCCUAACACAUGCAAGCCGAGCGGUAUUGUUUCUUCGGAAAUGAGAGAGCGGCGUACGGGUGCGGAACACGUGUGCAACCUGCCUUUAUCUGGGGGAUAGCCUUUCGAAAGGAAGAUUAAUACUCCAUAACAUAUUGAUUGGCAUCAAUUAAUAUUGAAAGCUCCGGCGGAUAGAGAUGGGCACGCGCAAGAUUAGCUAGUUGGUGAGGUAACGGCUCACCGAGGCGAUGAUCUUUAGGGGGCCUGAGAGGGUGAUCCCCCACACUGGUACUGAGACACGGACCAGACUCCUGCGGGAGGCAGCAGUGAGGAAUAUUGGUCAAUGGGUGCAAGCCUGAACCAGCCAUCCCGCGUGAAGGACGACUGCCCUAUGGGUUGUAAACUUCUUUUGUAUAGGGAUAAACCUACCCUCGUGAGGGUAGCUGAAGGUACUAUACGAAUAAGCACCGGCUAACUCCGUGCCAGCCGCCGCCGUAAGAC